GACGAACGCUGGCGGCGUGCUUAACACAUGCAAGUCGUACGGUAAGGCCCUUUCGGGGGUACACGAGUGGCGAACGGGUGAGUAACACGUGAGUAACCUGCCCACAACUUUGGGAUAACGCUAGGAAACUGGUGCUAAUACUGGAUAUGUGCUCCUGCUGCAUGGUGGGGGUUGGAAAGCUCCGGCGGUUGUGGAUGGACUCGCGGCCUAUCAGCUUGUUGGUGGGGUAGUGGCCUACCAAGGCGGCGACGGGUAGCCGGCCUGAGAGGGUGACCGGCCACAUUGGGACUGAGAUACGGCCCAGACUCCUACGGGAGGCAGCAGUGGGGAAGAUUGCACAAGGGGCGCAAGCCUGAUGCAGCAACGCCGCGGGCGGGAUGACGGCCUUCGGGUUGUAAACCGCUUUCAGCAGGGACGAAGCUUUUUGUGACGGUACCUGCAGAAGAAGCACCGGCUAACUACGUG
rnacentral:rRNA from 1 species